CAAUGAUUCACAGCUAAACUAUGUCCUCAAAACCAGGUAAUGAAAAUCUACACUACUUCAAACACUAAAGCCAAGUGACAUUCCAGGAGAUUUACUGAAUGAUGGAAGCGAAAGUGACCAUCAUGAUAAAGACUUAAAUCCAGUUGUCAAGUCCCUGAUACAAGCUUACUUGUACCUGGAGAGAAGCAAGAUACUCUACGUGCUACUGAGCUUAGGAGGGCUGCUUCUUGUCCUGAUGUUCGGAGGAUCUCUAGCUGGCAUUUACUUUGGAUGCCAGUACUAUAAACUGAAGAACAAGGGGAAGGAUGAGAUCUCAAGCAUGGAAGAGGGAUCUUCUACUGAUGAGGAACAAUCAUCUAGUUCCAAGAGAUCAAGUCCUGAGGAAUCAUGUGACAGUGAAGGGAGCCAAUCAGAUGAUGAAGAUUCUGAAUAGCUCCCCUCUUAAAUUUACCUUUUCACUGUUAUGUUUUGUUUUUUUUAACUAAGAACAUCCCCCCUUAAUAAACAUUUUAAUAAGAUCUCA